rnacentral:rRNA from 1 species
CAGUAGCCGCGGUAAAACGAAGGGGGCUAGCGUUGUUCGGAUUUACUGGGCGUAAAGGGCGCGUAGGCGGACUGAUAAGUCAGGGGUGAAAUCCCAAGGCUCAACCUUGGAACUGCCUUAGAUACUGUUUGUCUUGAGUUCGAGAGAGGUAAGUGGAACUGCGAGUGUAGAGGUGAAAUUCGUAGAUAUUCGCAAGAACACCAGUGGCGAAGGCGGCUUACUGGCUCGAAACUGACGCUGAGGCGCGAAAGCGUGGGGAGCAAAUAGGAUUAGAUACCCGCGUAGUCCCUGUCUCUUAUAC